AUAAGAAAAGGUCACAUAAGCAUUUCAUUGUCAUGCUAGUAGAAUUGGUUGUCACAAAAUAAAUUUCCUAACCGGUAACGAAAAUGAUUUUAUUUCCACCAAAUGAAAAAAAAGUUACCACAAAAUAUGUGAGUAUGCAUGUGUAUAUUUUAUAUGUGAAAAAUAUGGAACAGAUUGUUCAAAUGAUUAAAUUGCAUCAAGUACAUUAGGUUUCUAAUUAGUAAAAUUGUAUUCAAGAAUGAAGAUGACCCUGAUCAAGAGGUAAAGGCAUACUGCAAGAAUAUUUACAUAGGAGAUUCGAAAACUCUCCUUGAUAGAAUGGAUAGUGACGUCUCCCUCGGUCCAGGUGUGAAAAAGAAGGUAUCACAAAAAUAGUACUAAAAUUUAAGACGGAAUUCAUUUUAAUUAAUCAGGAAUUAAUUAUCAGCAAGCAGGCUAAUAAGAAAAAAUAUAAUAGAAGCGUUCACAGAUGCGGCUGAUGUAAAAAUUACCCCACGAAAGCCUACACUAUUACAAAGACUGUUGUAUACUUUCAACCGUUGCAUUGGACGCCAGACAGCCUAGAGAUUCAAAAAUAUCAAAAACUUUCUGCCACGGAUUGAGAUAUCCAUAUACACUGUAUGAGCUAUAUAGAAGAAUGCCGACAGCCUAGAGAUUUAACAAAAAAUCAAAAAACUUUCUGAUACGGAUUAAGAUAUCCAGCCGUGAGCUUGAAGAAUGCCAACCCAGCCCGGAUCGUGCUUGUGCUUUUCGCUCCAUUGGGCAUAAUGUUUUGAUAUAUUUUAAUGUUUAAGAAAAUAUUUAAUAUUUAGUGUUAAGAUGUUAUAUAUAUGUAAACAUUUAUUAUACAAUUGAAAGAUCUGAAUAUAUGUAUACCUUGUUUAUAAUACAAUGUACAUGUAUAUCUGUCUGAUGUGCCAUUUGGCAU